rnacentral:rRNA from 1 species
AUUGAACGCUGGCGGCAGGCCUAACACAUGCAAGUCGAACGGUAACAGGAAGAAGCUUGCUUCUUUGCUGACGAGUGGCGGACGGGUGAGUAAUGUCUGGGAAACUGCCUGAUGGAGGGGGAUAACUACUGGAAACGGUAGCUAAUACCGCAUAACGUCGCAAGACCAAAGAGGGGGACCUUCGGGCCUCUUGCCAUCGGAUGUGCCCCGAUGGGAUUCGCUAGUAGGUGGGGUAACGGCUCACCUAGGCGACGAUCCCUAGCUGGUCUGAGAGGAUGACCAGCCACACUGGAACUGAGACACGGUCCAGACUCCUACGGGAGGCAGCAGUGGGGAAUAUUGCACAAUGGGCGCAAGCCUGAUGCAGCCAUGCCGCGUGUAUGAAGAAGGCCUUCGGGUUGUAAAGUACUUUCAGCGGGGAGGAAGGGAGUAAAGUUAAUACCUUGGCUCAUUGACGUUACCCGCAGAAGAAGCACCGGCUAACUCCGUG